rnacentral:rRNA from 1 species
AGAGUUUGAUCCUGGCUCAGAACGAACGCUGGCGGCGUUGAUAAGACAUGCAAGUCGAACGAGAGAAUUGCUAGCUUGCUAAUAAUUCUCUAGUGGCGCACGGGUGAGUAACACGUGAGUAACCUGCCCCCGAGAGCGGGAUAGCCCUGGGAAACUGGGAUUAAUACCGCAUAGUAUCGAAAGAUUAAAGCAGCAAUGCGCUUGGGGAUGGGCUCGCGGCCUAUUAGUUAGUUGGUGAGGUAACGGCUCACCAAGGCGAUGACGGGUAGCCGGUCUGAGAGGAUGUCCGGCCACACUGGAACUGAGACACGGUCCAGACACCUACGGGUGGCAGCAGUCGAGAAUCAUUCACAAUGGGGGAAACCCUGAUGGUGCGACGCCGCGUGGGGGAAUGAAGGUCUUCGGAUUGUAAACCCCUGUCAUGUGAGAGCAAAUUAAAAAGAUAGUACCACAAGAGGAAGAGACGGCUAACUCUGUGCCAGCAGCCGCGGUAAUACAGAGGUCUCAAGCGUUGUUCGGAAUCACUGGGCGUAAAGCGUGCGUAGGCUGUUUCGUAAGUCGUGUGUGAAAGGCGCGGGCUCAACCCGCGGACGGCACAUGAUACUGCGAGACUAGAGUAAUGGAGGGGGAACCGGAGUUCUCGGUGUAGCAGUGAAAUGCGUAGAUAUCGAGAGGAACACUCGUGGCGAAGGCGGGUUCCUGGACAUUAACUGACGCUGAGGCACGAAGGCCAGGGGAGCGAAAGGGAUUAGAUACCCCUGUAGUCCUGGCAGUAAACGGUGCACGAAUGGUGUGCGGGGAAUCGGCCCCCUGCGUGCCCGGAGCUAACGCGUUAAGCGUGCCGCCGGGGGAGUACGGUUGCCAAGAUUAAAACUCAAAGAAAAUUGACGGGGACCCGCACAAGCGGUGGAGUAUGUGGCUUAAUUCGAUGCAACGCGAAGAACCUUACCUGGGCUUGACAUGUAAUGAACAACAUGUGAAAGCAUGCGACUCUUCGGAGGCGUUACACAGGUGCUGCAUGGCCGUCGUCAGCUCGUGUCGUGAGAUGUUUGGUUAAGUCCAGCAACGAGCGCAACCCCUGUUGCCAGUUACCAGCACGUGAAGGUGGGGACUCUGGCGAGACUGCCCAGAUCAACUGGGAGGAAGGUGGGGACGACGUCAGGUCAGUAUGGCCCUUAUGCCCAGGGCUGCACACGUACUACAAUGCCCAGUACAGAGGGGGCCGAAGCCGCGAGGCGGAGGAAAUCCUAAAAACUGGGCCCAGUUCGGACUGUAGGCUGCAACCCGCCUACACGAAGCCGGAAUCGCUAGUAAUGGCGCAUCAGCUACGGCGCCGUGAAUACGUUCCCGGGUCUUGCACACACCGCCCGUCA